UUUCCCAUUUACUUUGCUGCCAUGGUUUUUGUAGUAGCAUGGACAGUUAUACGGAUGGGAUACAGUAACUUUGGUGUUCUUUCUAUUGGGAAAGGAGUAAUCAUUUAUCCUUCCUUGAAAGACACCAUACAUUU